rnacentral:rRNA from 1 species
CGGGUGAGUAACGCGUGAGGAACCUGCCUCAAAGAGGGGGACAACAGUUGGAAACGACUGCUAAUACCGCAUAAGCCCACGGAUCGGCAUCGACCAGAGGGAAAAGGAGCAAUCCGCUUUGAGAUGGCCUCGCGUCCGAUUAGCUAGUUGGUGAGGUAACGGCCCACCAAGGCGACGAUCGGUAGCCGGACUGAGAGGUUGAACGGCCACAUUGGGACUGAGACACGGCCCAG